rnacentral:misc_RNA from 1 species
UGGACAAAAUGCUUAUGCAAAAGCAGCAACUGUAGCUGAACAGAGUAUUGGCUCAAUUAGAACUGUUGCAUCAUUUAGUGGGGAAAAGCAAGCUGUAAGUAAUUACAAGAAGUUUCUUGUUACUGCUUACAAGUCAGGUGUUCGUGAGGGCUUCAUUUCUGGAUUAGGUGUUGGCCUAUUUAUGUUGAUCAUGUUCUGUAGUUAUGCUUUGGCAAUA